GCUGAAGCGCGGAGCGCGAGAGUGACUUGCGGGACCUCCGCGCUCCAAGUUUCAGGGAAGUGCGGUUCUAUUCGCUCACCGAACUUUCUCCACACAUCUUUGUAGACGUCGUAUCCCGUCGUCCAGUCAAGGACUUGUUUUCUAAUCUGUACCUUAAAAAAAACUUCCUCUGUGAGUUCUCUCCGGGACUCGCGCUUGGGAGGCCGGCUAGGAAAAUCCCUCUUUUCAUUGGUUAUCGAGGUUGUCACUAUAGGCCUCCCUGGUCUCUGAUUGGUUUUUGGGAACGAGGCUGCAAAUUUCCCCUAUGGAUCGCUCAGCUUGCGCUCUGCCUAGUGUGGAAGGCGUUCUCCACACGGUUAGCUGCCUAUUUCCACAGAAUCCGAAGUUAGCGCUCUGAGGUCGUGGUGACGCGGUCGGGAGCGCACGGUACUGCUGGCUUCUAUCCCUCGUGGUCCCACUUCACCGCCUCCUUUUACGGCCACCUGUCCUUCCAGGGGGUCUUUCUUGGAGCACCGUCACCUGGAGUCACCUGUAGAUUGAGGUGUGCAUGGCAACCCCCCCGGCUCGCUGCGGGUGCUGGAAAAGGGAGGCGGGCCAAGGCCUCCGGCCCUAGAAAGUUGAGCAAGACCUGGCAACCUUCCCACAGAGGUGAUCAAUAAGUGCUUGUGGAAAGAACAAAUGAAUGGAUGGAUGGAGGAGGAGUCAGAAGGAGCACUCAGGAUGCCUUCCAGCUUUUCCGUGUGGGAGCAAGAAGUGAUGGUGAUCCUGGAGGAAGAGUCAACAUUCGCUCUUUUGAGUUUAUUUAGAAGACAGAGCUGCAUCAAGGUGAGGACCCCCUUCCGGGCCACCCCCGCAGGCAGAUGAAUGCUGGUGCUUGUAAUUACUUUCAGGGUCAAAGCAGCGCAAUCAGCUCCUUUGUCAGCAGCAUUCAUUGAAUAGUUUUAUCGAGCGCCUGAGGGUGAUUUGUUCCAGCUCCGGAGUAAUUGUCCAAUCAACCGCAGGUCUCAGGGGGAAGGUGGUUUGAAGGAAACUUCCCAAACAUUUGUGGUUGAGGCUGGAUGGCUUCAUUCAUUAACUCAGCAAACCUUCUUUGAACACCUACUGUGUGUUGGGUCCUGUGCCAGGCCUUGUGGGAGGUCUGGAGCAGUUCUUGCUCUAAAGAACCUAUGGAUGGUUAAAGGGGAUACAUAGAACCUUCCUUAAUCUCAUACUCAUCCCACAUGUUCCAGUGAGAGCCCCAAGGAGUAGGGCUGCCUCUUGAUGGAGGAGAUGUUGGAGGAAGGCCUGGGAAGAUGAUGGGUGGGAUUGGGGUGGAGAUGAGGAGUUGGCACUGACGGACAUCCAAAGUCAGGGACAAAGAUUCUGUCCUUGACCAAACUCUGGCCAGCCUCCCCUGAGCCUUCUUCUUGUAGGAUUGAACUUUGGCCUAUACAGACUUCAGUAAACACUGGCAUAGCUGCUAACAGCUCAAGGUUGCAACCCUAGGAUGACCCUAGUCGCCUCCACAUUCCUACCUGAGAAAACUGAGAAGACUGCCAAAUGAAGUGAUUCACUGUUUGUUCCCACCAACACCUGAAGAUAGGGCCCAUUUCCCAGUCUCCAUGGGAGGGUAGGAGUUUAACUUUGAUAGGUCCCAUUGAGCAAACCCAGAUGGGUUUCAUGUGGACCAACCACCCCUUCCUGCUGUUUGUAAUUUUUCACUUUCCUGUCUUGAACAAAGUCCCUGCCAUUCCUCCUUCCUCUUCCCUCAUUCUUCUUUUAAAAUCUUAAGUCACCUCUGCACAAGCCAGAAUGGGGCUCAGCACUGUCCCCUACUGUCAGUGGUUAUGAAACUGACAGUUUUAACAGCCUGAACCUAGCCAGACAGAACACAGAUUAGGACUUGAACCCAGGUGCCGGGACUUGAACCCAGCCUAAACCCUGAUUGGGACUUGAACUCAUGUGCUGGGACUCGAACCCAGCCUAAACCCAGAUUGGGACUUAAACCCAUGGUGUUAAGUUAGAAUCACUCACCCUGUGUCUGGACUCACUGAGGUUCAGGUUCUUCAUGACUCUGCGCAGAAGGAAUUCAGCGAGAGACAAAGCGACAGGCAAGAAAUGGAUUUGUUAGGAUAGGAUGCUUGUGAGAGAAGCAAGGGGGCAGGCACGGAAGCUCUGCCCAGAGGAUCCGGUGGGCUACAGUUUUAUCCUCCAAGGGGAGUGGGGGUUGGAAAAGCCCCCCUCUUCCUUUCUGGGAGCAGUAGCUCCUCCUUAGUAUCAGGCAAGGUGUGUAUUCAAAUCAGCAGAAGGGUGGUCCUCAAACUCCUGCCCGUGGUCUGACUCUGAAUGCAGGCCUCAUUCCAUCCCCACCACAAAGACCUGAGGUGAUUCUCUAGGCUCCACUAAUGAAGCAAAGCUGCCUUGUUCUGAUGGCUUUUUUGAGCAGUUUAUUUACUUACAGUGAUCUCCCAUAGUCCCCCAGAUUCCCCUCUCUAUCUAGAUCCUUUACUGGGACUUCUAAAACUACCUGUGUCUCCUCCAUCACUAUCAGUUACUGAAUAAAAUCUGUUUUCAUUGCUUUAGCCAAUGUCUGGCUGUGUUUAUCUUUGACAUCAGUUCUCCACACAGAAAUAAAAGCAGAAAACUGAGGCACACAAUUGUUCAGAAAGAGACCCUUUAGAAUUCCAUCCAGCAGGGGAAAUAGAGAAAGAGCCGUGGCCCAGCUCAUGCAGGGCCUUCGAGGCCUAAGCAAAGAGGUGGGGGUUUUUGUCCUGAGUGCCACAGAAAGUGGAGGAUUUUAAGUGGGGGAGGCAUAAGGUCAGAGCAGUGCCUAGCACAAAGUCAGCAUUCACUGAGUGUUCAUUGUUGCUGUUAUGAUUUGCAGUUCCCAAGACUGGUUUCUCUGGCUGUGGUAUUGGGGGUGGGGAGUUGGCGGUUAGGGGAACAGGAGACAAUAGUUAGGAGGCUACACCAGUGGUUCGAGGCCAGAGAUGGUGGGAGUCUUGCUUGGCUCUGUGGUUGUGGGGAUGGGAGAGAAGUGAUUGAUCCCAGGGAAGAUUUAGGAGGUCAGAUGGGCAGGUCCUGGUGAACGGCUGGAAGUGGUAGAGGGCAGGGGAGGGAAAGGGGAAAAUUGAGGGUGAUGUCCAGGUUUCUGGCUUGCGAGAAUGAGUGGGAGAUGGCGCUAUUCCCAGGUGUGUGUGGGGCAGAUGGGGAGAUGGCUUUUGCAGGUUGAACUAAAGAGCAGUGUGCUGUCAGGUAUAUGGGGCUGGAGCUCAGGAGGGCCAACCUUCAGGGAACGGGAGCUAUUUUUACUCCCACAUUACACUUGGUUUGAUCCUGAGCUUCAGGCACAGCCCUAAGAGCCUGGCAUGUGUGUGACUUAGUUUGAGUGGUAGGGGAGGAAAAAUUCUCGAUCCUCCUGGGUUCUCUAGCUGGACCUAAGAAUUAAUUAAACUGACAUAAGAUGAACUAACAGGUGAAAAGCAAACAAGUUUUAUUACAUUUUUACAUGUGCAUGAAGCUUUCACAAGAUAAUGAAGAACAGAGCAGAAACUUUUAUGCCUUUUAGACAAAGAAAUGAUCAAUUUAUGAAGAAGUGAUGACAAAGGGGUUUGGGGGUUUGGGCCAGGGGCAGUACAUUGUGGGGGAAUGACUAGGAGAGAAUAUUGGAGGGGGAACUGGUGGAAGACAGGAUUAUUUUAGUAAGUUUGUUUUGUACAGAACCAUUGCAAUGUCUGUUCCAAAUCUAUGGUGAUAAAGAUAUUCUUGUUUUUGCAGUACAGAGAGGGCGCUUUUCUCAUGGGAACUUUUAUGGCCUGUUUUUAAGUAGAAAAGAGCAGGUCAGAGAGCCCUUCUUGCAUCUGCAGUUUCUCAAGUGUCCUCAGUUAGAAAGAAUCAUUAUGCCAAAGCGGCAUAUUUUAGGGGGGCAUGGCCUGAACUCCUUCAGAGUUCUCCCAGACUCUGAGACAAGAUUCAAAUGAAGAGAUUUCAUUUGGGAAGAAGAGGUCAAACCAGUGAGGAAGUGAAACAGGGAGAGAGAGGAGCCAGCAAAGUGUGUGAUGGAGCCAGCAUCCGUGUUGGUUGACCGGAGUGUCAUCCUGUAGGCAAACACAUGCUUCAAAAAGACCCCACACAGGAGGCGAGGGAGCUGGGCUAUUUACACACCACAGUUCCUGGAGCAAGAGCCUUUACACACAGAGAUACAGAUAUGAGAGAUGGAAGUUGCUGGGGCACAAGGAAAUGUCCAAGGGCUGUAGGACACGGACAGCGUUGGAUCCAAAGUCUAAUGAUGCAAUUUGUAUAAACAUGUAGGUUUUUAUCCCAUGUUAGGUGAAACCAGUCCUCUGCUUAGUUUUAUGUCUUAUUGUCAGAGUGAACGGCAACCUUCAAAUAAAACCUAGUCGAGACUGGAGUAAGUUAAGUUUGUUAACUCAGGGGCUUAUAACCAACCUGUGAACUAACAAUUCCACAUCUCACCACUUGGGGCUCAUUCGUUUUUUUAGAUACGACUUAUCUAUUGACCACGUACUGAGUGCCAAGAUGUGUUGAAUACUUUACAUGUUAUUAUCUCCUUUAAUCUUUAUAACGACCCCCCCUCCCCCGCUGUGAGAUAGGUAUGGUUAGACCCAGCUUAUAGAUGAGGAGGGAUUUAGUGGUUUGCUCCUGUUGCAACAGUUUGCAGUUGUCAGAACCAAGUUGCAACCCAUUUUCUUCCUUCAACCUUUUGCUGCCGCUUGGCAGGUAGAAAUUACAAGAGCAAUCUUAGCUCAAGCAUUUGGCUUAUAUCUGUGCUCAGUAUUUAUUGAUGUUCCCAGGCCCAUCCAGUACUAACUGCUGAGGCUUAAUAAGUUCUAAAUAAUAAUGAUUUUCCCCUGGAUGAGUAUAGAUGCUGCUGUCAGCUGAGCCUGAUUUCCACCUAAUUUGCAGGGAAUUCAUGUAGCACAAUGAUGGGCUAAAUAUUUAUGCAGGGAGGAUGUAUGUACAAAUCACAUUUCCAUAAGAAACACAAGGCAAAUGAGAGUUUCCUACAUAAAAGUUUAUUGAUAGGAAAAGAUGCUUUAGAGUAUCAAACCUUAGCCGGGAUUAACCAGCAUUAUCCAAGCGUUAGCCGUAUUUAGGCAAUUUUAGCAUUUAUGCCAGAGAAGUGCCUUUAUUAAGAAUUGCCAAAAAAAAA
ensembl:lncRNA